CUUACUUUAAUCAUUUAUUUAUCCAUGGCCUAAUAUCAAUUCUAUGGGUAAUCCAGAAUUAUUGAAAAGUUUAUUACAGGUUUUUAACCCAUUUACUCAAGGUGACCUUGAAAUUUGAUAGAGUAUAUGAGAAAAAUAUUGUGUUCUAUGCCAUCAUCCAAAGUUUCUUGAUCUUUCGGCUAAUGAGUAAAGGUUGUGUGCGAGACCUUGAGAUAGGUAAAGGUCAUUCGUAUGAGUAAUCUCAAUUGUACUCUAUCCCAGGUGAUAAAUAUUGGCAUUAACUUUUGCUUAUAGCUUCCUAGAAGUUAAAGGUCAACAGAGAAUGAACAGCAGAUCCUUCACCAUACCAUCAGCUGAGUGGCACUUUUAGUCAAAAGAAUUCCGACUAUGGCAACACUGUACCACAUUAGAGUUUUCAUUCUUCAUUCUUUUCAUUCAGAAUGUGCUAACAUCUCUGGUUCACAGGAGUCAAGUAAACCCUGUCAGUAACUGGUUAUCAUACAGUGUUACCAACCCGUAGUGAUUAUAUAUAGUAGUUACAAUGUA